rnacentral:rRNA from 1 species
GAUUGUUCACCCACCAAUAGGGAACGUGAGCUGGGUUUAGACCGUCGUUAGACAGGUUAGUUUUACCCUACAAAUGAUAGUGUCACAAUAGAAAUUCAACCUAGUGAUUUGCAUAAUUGGUUAUCGCGCUAGGUUGAAAAACCAGUGACGUGAAGCUACCGUGCACUGGAUUACGAAUGAACGCCUCUAAGUCAGAAUCUGGGCUAAAAACGAUGCUUGCGCCCGCCGCCCACUUGCCGACUUGCAGAAGGGGCCAUCCGUCCCCCAAAAGCACAUGUCAUUGGUAAAGUCCUUUGCAGAUGGCUUAAAUACACGACGGGGUAUUAUAAGUGGCAGAAUGGCCUUACUGCCAUGAUCCACUAAGAUUUAACCCUGCGUCGCUCCGAUUCGUCCCUCCC